GCCGAAGUGGUGGAAUUGGUAGACACGCUGUGUUGAGGGCGCAGUGGUUAACGCCGUGCCGGUUCAAGUCCGGCCUUCGGCACCA
rnacentral:tRNA from 1 species